rnacentral:rRNA from 2 species
GUCGAACGGUAACAGGAAGCAGCUUGCUGCUUUGCUGACGAGUGGCGGACGGGUGAGUAAUGUCUGGGAAACUGCCUGAUGGAGGGGGAUAACUACUGGAAACGGUGGCUAAUACCGCAUAACGUCGCAAGACCAAAGAGGGGGACCUUCGGGCCUCUUGCCAUCAGAUGUGCCCAGAUGGGAUUAGCUUGUUGGUGAGGUAACGGCUCACCAAGGCGACGAUCCCUAGCUGGUCUGAGAGGAUGACCAGCCACACUGGAACUGAGACACGGUCCAGACUCCUACGGGAGGCAGCAGUGGGGAAUAUUGCACAAUGGGCGCAAGCCUGAUGCAGCCAUGCCGCGUGUAUGAAGAAGGCCUUCGGGUUGUAAAGUACUUUCAGCGGGGAGG